rnacentral:rRNA from 2 species
AACGAACGCUGGCGGCAGGCCUAACACAUGCAAGUCGAACGCUCGUAGCAAUACGGGAGUGGCAGACGGGUGAGUAACGCGUGGGAACGUACCUUUCGGUUCGGAAUAACCCGGGGAAACUCGGGCUAAUACCGGAUACGUCCGCAAGGAGAAAGAUUUAUCGCCGAAAGAUCGGCCCGCGUCGGAUUAGCUAGUUGGUGAGGUAACGGCCCACCAAGGCGACGAUCCGUAGCUGGUCUGAGAGGAUGAUCAGCCACACUGGGACUGAGACACGGCCCAGACUCCUACGGGAGGCAGCAGUGGGGAAUAUUGGACAAUGGGCGAAAGCCUGAUCCAGCCAUGCCGCGUGAGUGAAGAAGGCCUUAGGGUUGUAAAGCUCUUUCAGCGGGGAAGAUAAUGACGGUACCCGCAGAAGAAGUCCCGGCUAACUUCGUGCCAGCAGCCGCGGUAAUACGAAGGGGACUAGCGUUGUUCGGAUUUACUGGGCGUAAAGCGCGCGUAGGCGGAUCGCUAAGUCAGGGGUGAAAUCCCAGGGCUCAACCCUGGAACUGCCUUUGAUACUGACGAUCUGGAGAUCGGGAGAGGUUGGUGGAAUUCCGAGUGUAGAGGUGAAAUUCGUAGAUAUUCGGAGGAACACCAGA